UGUUGCCCAAGGUGACAACCCAAGAGGGGGGGUGAAUUGGGUUUUCUAAAAAUUAUGUUCCCUAAUUUUUACUUUGAAUAGAAUGCAGCGGAAUAAUAAGAUGUUAUUUACUUAAGCUCUAGGCAAUUACAAGUAAAGCAGUGGAAGAUUAAGCUAGAGCAAUUAUACUAUGGCUUUAGGGUGCAAUUGAUCUAACAUUAACUUAUAGUUGUAUGAUCAAUUUUAAUCUAUGUGUAUGGUAAGAAUGGAGUGGAAGCUAAGCAAAUCACUUAUAACUCUAUAGAAACAAAUCC
rnacentral:lncRNA from 1 species